rnacentral:rRNA from 1 species
GAGGAAUAUUGGUCAAUGGGCGCAAGUCUGAACCAGCCAAGUAGCGUGCAGGAUGACGGCCCUAUGGGUUGUAAACUGCUUUUGUAUGGGGAUAAAGUCAAUCACGUGUGAUUGUUUGCAGGUACCAUACGAAUAAGGACCGGCUAAUUCCGUGCCAGCAGCCGCGGUAAUACGGAAGGUCCGGGCGUUAUCCGGAUUUAUUGGGUUUAAAGGGAGCGUAGGCUGGAGAUUAAGUGUGUUGUGAAAUGUAGACGCUCAACGUCUGAAUUGCAGCGCAUACUGGUUUCCUUGAGUACGCACAACGUUGGCGGAAUUCGUCGUGUAGCGGUGAAAUGCUUAGAUAUGACGAAGAACUCCGAUUGCGAAGGCAGCUGACGGGAGCGCAACUGACGCUUAAGCUCGAAGGUGCGGGUAUCAAACAGGAUUAGAUACCCUGGUAGUCCGCACAGUAAACGAUGGAUGCCCGCUGUUGGUACCUGGUAUCAGCGGCUAAGCGAAAGCAUUAAGCAUCCCACCUGGGGAGUACGCCGGCAACGGUG